GGGGAAUAUUGGGCAAUGGGCGAAAGCCUGACCCAGCAACGCCGCGUGAAGGAAGAAGGCUCUCGGGUUGUAAACUUCUUUUAAGAGGGACGAAAGAAAUGACGGUACCUCUUGAAUAAGCCACGGCUAACUACGUGCCAGCAGCCGCGGUAAUACGUAGGUGGCAAGCGUUAUCCGGAUUUACUGGGUGUAAAGGGCGCGUAGGCGGGACUGCAAGUCAGAUGUGAAAAUUAUGGGCUCAACCCAUAACCUGCAUUUGAAACUGUGGUUCUUGAGUGAUGGAGAGGCAGGCGGAAUUCCGUGUGUAGCGGUGAAAUGCGUAGAUAUACGGAGGAACACCAGUGGCGAAGGCGGCCUGCUGGACAUUAACUGACGCUGAUGCGCGAAAGCGUGGGGAGCAAAC
rnacentral:rRNA from 1 species